rnacentral:rRNA from 1 species
CCUACGGGUGGCUGCAGUGAGGAAUAUUGGUCAAUGGGCGCGAGCCUGAACCAGCCAAGUAGCGUGAAGGAUGACUGCCCUACGGGUUGUAAACUCCUUUUAUAAAGGAAUAAAGUGAGGCACGUGUGCCGUUUUGUAUGUACUUUAUGAAUAAGGAUCGGCUAACUCCGUGCCAGCAGCCGCGGUAAUACGGAGGAUCCGAGCGUUAUCCGGAUUGAUUGGGUUUAAAGGGAGCGUAGAUGGGUUGUUAAGUCAGUUGUGAAAGUUUGCGGCUCAACCGUAAAAUUGCCAUUGAUACUGGCAGCCUUGCGUCCAGUUGCGGUAGGCGGCAUUCGUGGUGUAGCGG